CAGCUCGACUGUAAAUAAGGAAAAGAUAAUUGAAUGUUUUCAACAAAUAGUUCGACUUUUGAUCAACAUCUCUAUUGCUAGAGAAUCUGAAGAAAGGGACCUUUAUGGAUUAACCAAUUCAUCCAAAGAUGUUUCAAAUCGACAUUGAAACACAUUGGUCAUUCAUCCUUAGAAAUUUAGGUAAUAAUAAUUACAUCCAGUUAUUUACUUUUUUUUUGUUCGUUCAUAUAUUUGUUCAUACAAAAUGUAUGGAAAACAUAAGAGAUUUUAUUUUCUAAAAUUGGAACAUGAAAAUAAAUAUCAACUUAAACAAAAAGAUGUGUCACCGGUAAAUAAACUUCCUAGCUUCAUUUAAACAUGUAAGGAAGUACAAUAUUCAUCCAUAAGUAAGUUCUACUUGAAACCAAUGCUUCCCUGCUUCUCCAUGGGUUUGCGUGGUAGCCAAAACCUGUUUUCCAUAAUUUCAGCUUUCAAAUUUACGUCUCGAAAAGUCCAAUCAAAAUUAUUAACAAACAGUGAAAUCUCUAUAAACACAAAUCUCUGGUUGAUGUGAGUCUACUUUGGAAUAGGCAUAUCCUGAGAAUUAGCCAAACUUUCAAGAAACUCUAAAAAUAUAUUCUUAUAAGUUCUUUCUACUAAUAAUACAUAUAUAUUCAUUUUUUUCUUCUUCUGUUUUUUGUUGGAUAACAAAUGUAGACGUAUUCAUUACAGUGUAAUUACUCCUAGUCACUAAGUUUAUCAUACCUCAACAAAGCCAUCCCCAAAAUUCACGCCAAGUUCUAUGUGCGAGCUAGGUGACGAUUGAGAGAAAAGGAAUUGAACUGGGUUAGGAUGAAAAUAUUUCUUAUGCCACUGUUGAUACAAAGCAAUUGAUAAACCAUGUGCAUAAGAGCAUGACACUGAGUACAACUUGAGAAAGUUAUUAACAAUAAAAUGCAGACAUUAAACUUGUGUGUCAUUAGAAACAUACACUUGUAGCAUAUUGGUUCAUACCAAGAUGGUAAAAACAGACAGUUUCAAAAAACUUACAGUAAGAAUGCCAGAAAAAUACAAUAUCUAUAUGUCACUGAUAGAGAGUUCUUAUGUGUUCCUUAAACAAAUUCAAGUUUUUGUAGUGUUACAAUAGCAAUAUUUUGAAAUAGUGACCUUGAAUGUUGGGUGUCCCCAAAUAAAUACUUGCAAACUCAAUUGUCAAUUGCACAAUCGUGUAAAAUAUAAUAAUUGAUUACUAACUACAGCAGAAACUAUAUAUCUUUGUUUUGACUAAUUUCAUGGCAUUUCAAAAAUGAACAUAAAAACAGGCCAAUGGCAUGUAUUACAGGAACCAUAGAAACUUUCCUUACAAAAAAUCAUUUGAAAAUACCAUCUAUGUUUUCUAUUAUCUAAUUCAGUUUUCAUUCUCGAUUUUUAGUUUUUCCUUACUAUAUUUUUUGAAAGUGACUAUCAGUUUGGUUCUCAUUAUUGACGGAAAAAAAAUCUUAUUUAAAUUAAAUACAUAUAGAAACACUAAUUUGAUUAUAGGUAAAGAGCAUAUAAUUUCACCAUAAUUUGCCAAUUAGGAAAUAACACGUGCAUCCCAAAACAACUCAAUUUACAAUAAGCAACCAAAAUGUGAAAAUUUAUUGCAAAAAAAUCACAAAUGGUAAGUCACUUACAAUUGGUUUAGCUCUUUUGCUAGUGAGAGAAAGUAACGGGUCACAACACAUCCACCAAGAAUAAUUGAAGCUAAUUUUUUGGGUCUAUCUCUGGAUGCUCAAAUACAGGUGCCUCAAAUGCCUGAAACCAAAACUCAACAAAAAUUGUAUGAAACUAAAGUUGUGCCGUAAAAUUACACAGAUUAAACUCUUUAAUGUAACAAAUGAGUAAUAAGCAAUUGAUCCAAAAUUAAAACAUAAAUAUGAACCUUUUCUAUUCUUCAAGAUUAAUAUUCGAGUCCAAUCAAGGUUCCUUCCUCUUCCUAAAAAACUCAUUCUCUUGUAUAAACAACCAACUCAAGGUCAACUUGAAAUAACAAAAAAAUAAGAUUUGGGGAGGGUAAAAGGAGUAAUGCUAUGAAAUUUAUGCAGAGAAAUUAACAGGUAAUAACAUCAAACAAAACAAAUUGCAAUGAAUAAAGGGAAAAUCGCAAUAAAAUCAUAUCAUGUUCUUUAAUCAGGACUUUUAUCAAGCACUUACUGAGCAGAAGCUUCUCAGUUCUUUAGCUCAGCACAAUUACAAAUUAUAUGGUAUUUUCGAUGGAUUUAAUUGAUGAGAAGAGAAGUGGGUACCUUUACAGAAAUUGUGGAUUGGAGAAGCUUCUCAGUUGGAAACCAACGAUUUGGAACAACUAGAUUUGAACGGAUCGUGAGAUUUUUCCAAACGAUGCCAUAGAUUCACCAAAUUGCACACAAAUAUAAACCAAAUUGCACAAUCCAACUUCAAAUAAUGCAAUAGGAGUCACCAAAUUGCACACAAAUGUAAAUGCUACAAAUUAUUAAAAAAGAAGUAAAAAUAAAUAAUUUACAAUUAUGUAAAACUAUUUAAUUUCAUGUACAUGUUAGUAAAAUAAGAAAACUUUUAAUUCUAGUAUGAGAUCUCCUCCGAAACGAUGAAUGGGGAGAUGAUGAUAAAAAAUAAUGGGUCUUAUAUUUUACCUGAAGAGGGAAGAUUUUGUUUGAAAAGUUGGGAAGUAUUCACUUUCGAUCACCGACUAUUCCUCUGUACAGAUAGUAUGUAGUUUUGUUUAGUAGGGUUUCAUCAAGGAAUGAGAAGAAGAGAAGUGAGUGAAGAGGUGAUUGUUUAUAUGGAUGAAGCGAUCGAGGGAAAGAAGAGAAGGAAUCGAUCGAGAAGAAGAGAAUGAGUCAGUCGACUAUGAAGAAGAGGAAUGGAUUGAGAAGAGAAGGAGUCGGUCGACUCGCGAGAGUUUCCAAUUGAGCGAGUUAACUCUUAAUUAAUUAAGAGUUGACUCAGUGAAUUUUGCAAUUGAGGUUCGAUGGAUUUAAUUGAUGAGAAGAGAAUUGGAUACCUUUACAGAAAUUGUGGAUUGGAGAAGCUUCUUAGUUGGAAGCCAACGAUUUGGAACAAUUGAGUUCGAAUGGACCGUGAUAAUUUUU
rnacentral:lncRNA from 1 species